GAGGUAGCGGUUCGCUCGGGAGCGGGAUGGAGGCGGGAGCGGCGGCACGGCACCCCGCGGGGCCGCGGUCGCUGGGCAGAGCCCUGGCCGGCCCCCGUCCUGAGGAGCGCCCCGGCUGCCCCCCGGCCGCCGCCGGCGACUCGAAGGCCGAGGCGCGGGUGCUGGUCAUCAACACGGGGGGCACUAUCGGCAUGGUGCAGGACGACAAGGGACUUGCUCCUGAGGCAAAUAAAUUAGUAAGCAGCUUGAAAACAAUGCCAAUGCUGCAUGAUGAGGCAUAUGCCCAGGAAACAAAACUGAACAGCUUCCAUGAAUUUCCAGAAAACACACUGGUGCUGCCUGUCUCUAAGCAAAAUAAAAGAAUUUUUUACACAAUCCUGGAGCUCUCACCACUGCUUGAUUCUUCCAACAUGACUCCAGAGGACUGGGCCAAAAUUGCAAAGAAACUUGAGGAGCACUACGAAAAGUAUGAUGGUUUUGUGAUCCUUCACGGCACUGAUACCAUGGCAUAUACAGCUUCAGCCUUAUCCUUCAUGUGUGAGAAUCUGGGUAAAACUGUUGUUCUGACAGGAUCUCAGGUACCCAUAUACGAGUUACAGAAUGACGGCCGAGCCAACCUUCUGGGGGCACUGCUAUUUGCUGGGCAGUUCGUGAUUCCUGAGGUGUGCCUGUAUUUUUAUAAUAAACUGUACAGGGGAAAUAGGGUGACUAAGGUGGAUGCUGCGAGUUUCAAUGCCUUUUCCUCACCUAACCUGCCUCCACUUGCAAAUGCUGAGGUUGAUAUUACAAUAAACUGGGAAACAGUGUGGAGAGCCAAUACCAAAAAGAAAUUUCGAGUUCACACCAAUAUGAACAGGAAUGUUGGGCUUCUGCGAAUCUUCCCAGGAAUCACUGCUGCUGUUGUAAAAGCCUUUCUUCAGCCUCCAAUUGAGGGCAUUGUACUUGAAGCUUAUGGAAGUGGCAAUGCCCCAAACAACAGAGAAGACUUGCUGGAAGAACUGAAGAAAGCAGCUGAACGGAAAGUAGUGAUUCUAAACUGUACGCAGUGCUUACGAGGGUCUGUCAAAACAGUCUAUGCAACAGGGCAGACUCUCGCUGAUGUUGGAGUAAUUCCUGGAGGUGAUAUGACACCAGAGGCAGCCCUAACUAAACUGUCAUACACACUCAGCAAGAGUAAGCUUAGCUGGGAGGAAAAAAGGCAGAUGCUGAGUGAGAAUCUAAGAGGAGAAAUGACUGUUGUACCCACAGGAGCCAAGAUCUCUUUGAGAGAUAGCAAGUUUAUUCAAGUGAUUGCCAAAUCUCUAAGUAUCAGCAGCAAGGAGGAGUUAGAAGCCGUAAGAGAUGCAUUAAUUCCACCUUUGGCUUGUGCUGCAGCUAAACUGGGUGACAUUGACGCACUAAGAGCCAUAGCAGAAAUGGGUGGAAACCUGAGCUGUGGAGACUAUGAUGGCCGAACUCCACUUCAUAUUGCAGCCUCUGAAGGGCAUUUACCAUUAGUUGAGUAUUUGUUGACAUCUGGCGCAACUGUUUAUGCUAGAGACAGAUACGGAUCUACCCCGCUGAUGAAUGCGAUCAGGUUCAGGCACAUACAAGUGAUUAAUUUGUUACGAGAAACGGGAGCGCACCUUUCAAGCCAGGACUUGGAGAACAUUGGAACAAUACUCUGCAGUGGUUUCUGCUUUGCACCUGGCUGAACGAUGAGAUUCUGUUUGGCAUAUACAGUUCUUUCCUGUCCAGUGCUGGAGACGGCUGUAACUCUCAUGUGGUAGGUAGGCUUUUUGUUUGUUUGUACCUUAAUCCUGGGACCUUCCAGUGUUAACAGCAAGAGACUUGUCUUUGUAUGUGAAGAUAAUUCUUGUGCUCCAGAAGUGGCUGCUAAGCAAUUUCUUCUUUGCUUUACUAAUGCUUACACUUUUUCUUUAUUAAUUUUUACUUUUUCUGCAGCUUCCUAAAGGUCUUCCCACUGAGCUUCCUGUUAGACUGCUGCUGUUUCCUUAUUGCUUCUAGGGGCCUUUUUUUGUGAUGUCAGUUUUCAUUAAGGAUUUAUCGAUCCUUUUCUUCAUGAUGUCAGCCUGAAGCACUGUUAAAUCUUAUAGCACCCCACUGCCACUUCCCUGUUCUCCAAAGAUCGUAGCUGUAGGUCUUCUGCCCUGACUCAGGGUUGGUGGGAUUGCAGGGAGGAACACAGAGACUGUUUGCUUUCCCUUUCCAUGCCCAGCCUCUGGGACUGCUGCAAACAAAAGCUUCUGACUUUCUCCUCAGACUGCUGCAAUUAGAGGCUUCCACUCCCCUGAAAACAUUUUUUUCAGGUACUUAAGAGAUUUAAUCAACAACAGAAGCGAUUUCAGCCUAGCAGAGAAAUGAAUGUUGCAGCCGUGCUUUCACGGUUUCUUUCAUAAGCUUAGCUGACUGUCUGCCCCUUGCAUCUUCCAGCCUUCUCCACUGUCCACCAGGUCUGCCUGGCUUGGUUGUCAUACUCAGGAGUUCGUCACCAUCCUCCAUCCCUGCUGCCAGCAGUAUGCCUUUCCCCCCACAGCGAGCACUGUUUAAGGCAGCAAACUCUGAACUUUGUAAGUCUGGGGAGGGUUCCCCCUCUCUUAAUGAGAUUCAACCUCACUUGAUUAUGGUUCUGCUGAAACAAUCUGCAAGCACAAAGCAAGCUCAGGUCUGCAGCCUGACAGAUGUUGUGUCUUGAGAAAACUGAAUGUAGUCCCCUUAGUCUUGCUGUUGGUUCAGCCUGUCUGCAGGCUUGAUACAGACCAUCAUGCCUUUGCAUAUGUACAGGCUGUUAGCCAUUCUUAUGCCAAAUAGAAGUUCAAAAUGAACCUUAAAUAUUAUGGAUGAGACUACCAGCAGAUGUGUGAAGAAACAAUCUGGUGUAUAUUAUGUGAUUAAUUUUGAUCCUUUCUAUUGCUUGUUGCACAUGGCAUAAAGACAGAGGUCAUCUUUAAAAAGCCUUUUUUUUUUUUACUUGCACAUUUAAAUGUUACAAAUUAUUCUAUAAAUUUCAAAAAAUGUUGCUGUGUUACUGUCCAAAUGAGACCACGUAAAUGUCCUGUCCUAACUUCCAAUAGCAAACAUAGUUAGGCAAACUUGCGAGGGGGUUUCUAGUGGUUUUAUAUAGGGCAUGCUGAUUGCUAGCACAUCUGCUUGUGCUCUCAAUACAGCUGCAUCUUGAUUUACCCAUUGCCCUCCCCCCAACUCAUUUCAUGAGAUAAAUAUUGUGUUGUGAAAUAUGAAACUACGUGACUUUUUUUUCCCCUUUGGUCAUAGUCACACCCACUAUGUGAAACCAGCCUGUUGUAAGUACUUAUAGCAUAGCCCUAUUAAUUUAAGGAACUGAUUCAUCAUGCUGUGUUGCUUGCUCAGCUAUUCAAAGCUGUUGUAAUAGUGUUCCUUUGCUUACCUCUCUACCCUGGCAGCCAUGUUGAGCCUGUUCUGGUUCAGCUUCUGCCUGCUGAGCUAACUGACAGGACCCAGGAGCACACCGAAAUAUUUAGAACCAGUAUUAAUUAUUCUUUUUCCAGCCUUACAGCUAAAGGCGAUGUGGAUGGGCUGUAUGCCUGGUACCUAGCUGGUGCAGACCUGAAGCAAACUGGUUAUGAUGGCAGGAAUCCCCUACAAGUAGCAGAGGCUACAGGGCAUAAGGAGGUUCUUGACUUCUUAAGACAAAAACAGUAAAGAAGAGGCUGUAGAAGAUGGUCACCCUCUUCAGAAACACCAGCUUUGGACAUUAAUAAUGUUAAAUGGUUGUGGGAGGAAAAAAGGAAAGGAACAGUGGAAGCUGUGGUUGGAGCACACAGGAAAGCUAGAGCUUAGAAAUAUCCUUUAUUUAGGAUCACAUUAAUUAAUUCUUACUCAUUUUCUAAAAAUUAUUUGCUGCUUUACCUUUUAAUCACUUUUCUUGAAAAGAAAUGUUUUUAAAACAAGUGAGGCUGGAAUGUAUUGCCUUUAUGUACAAGUUCUGGUUUUAAAGAGGCCUUUUGAAUCUUCUUAUGUUAUCAAUGAGGACAGUAUCGCAGGCCCAGCAAACAGAAUGCUGUGGUGAAUUCAUACAAAGAAAAAACAGUGGAUUGUGCGUUUCUGGGUUUCAACUAAUAAAAUCUCUGAGGAACAA